rnacentral:lncRNA from 1 species
UUCCAGUUCUGCAAGCUCCAUCAAUGGCCAACCACAAAAAAAUCAAGCACUGGAAUUGUCAUACAAGACUUUAAAGCAGCCAUGUAAUCAUCUUCCACAAGGUAAAGGUGAAUGCCCUUGAAAUGAAUGGAAAAUCAGAAAUUCUCCACAGAUGAAAAAGGCCCAAAUAGAAACUUCAGAAUUGAAAAAUACAAAAACGUAAUUAACAUAAAACUGAGUGACAUGGUUUGGGUUUGUUCCCACCCAAAUCUCAACUAGAAUUGUAUCUCCCAGAAUUCCUACGUGUUGUGGGAGGGACCCAAUGGGAGGUAAUUGAAUCAUGGGGGCGGUCUUUCCCAUGCUAUUCUCGUGAUAGUGAAUAAGUCUCAAGAGAUCUCAUGGGUUUAUCAGGCGGUUCCGCUUUUGCUGCUUCUUCAUUUUCUCCUGCUGCCGCCAUGUAAGAAAUGCCUUUUGCCUCCCACCAUGAUUCUGAGGCCCCCCAAGCUGUGUGGAAAUAAAAACGUACAGAGUGGAAGAAAGCAGAAUUGGGCAGAGUGAGAUGUUGAACUGCCAUAGCCGUUCAACAUGAGAUGUUGAAAUCCACCGCCCAGCACAUGGAGCUCUGAAGCUGGGACAACCUGCAAGAAUUGCCCAGGAUUGAGGCAAUCAGGAAAGGCUUUAUACUCCAUGUCACUGAUGCGUCAUUGGAUGUGAACUGUCCAGGAAACGGGCGUGACCUUCAGUGUGUAACUCUCUUUGGCUUAGGCAACUCAGAAGAGGACUUACAAUUGAAGGCUUUCUGCUAGCAACGCUUUCUGCUAGCAACACACCCUGCAACUGGAGGAACACAUUCUUGAGUCUGGAAGUAGAACCGGGUGCCCCACAGCAUCCGUUAUUCCUACACAUUACACUGGUAAAUUAUUUAUCCUUCAGAAGGUGCUGUCUCGAUUUGCACUCCUCUGUUAUUAAUGGCACUUUUUAAAAACUGAAAUUGUUUUUUUUUACGUAAUUUCUCCAACCACACGGUGAGUGUCUCAUGAGAAAGAAUGUUGUAUUCACCACCACCUAUUUCCUCAGUCUCCACUUUUCGGGCUGAACCCGAGAGCCAGCGUGCAGCGCAGCUGGGGGCGUGACCGACAUGAGAUGAAAACUGCGCAGACUCAGCAACUCAGCCCCAAUAGGAGGGCACGAGCCCCAGCGUCCUCGGUUUCCAUAGUGACAGAGCCUACUUCUGGUCUCUAACCGCCACGGUUUCCCUUCUUAGCUCCGGGCGCACCCAGGAAAGACAAAAAUACGCAUAAGGCCAGCCGUUUGACCCCUUGCUGCGGAAGAUAAAGGGCUCCACUCUAAACGUGGUGAUCCUGGUAAACGCAGGAGUUGGGGGAGCGUGCAAGACCCUGAGAAUUUUCCUUCUUUACCCGCCCCCAGGCCUAGCCCACCCACCUAGACCGCGAUCAGCCCUCCCUUUAUAAGGGGAGUGUGCUCUGGUAUAAGAUUUGUUAGGUGAUUAAAUAUAAAGAAAACCUGUUAACCACCUACCCUACCUUCAAGAAACAUCCCCC